rnacentral:rRNA from 1 species
GGUUGCUUGCAAGGGCGUAUGGUGGAUGCCUUGGCAGACAGUACCGAUGAAGGACGUUUGAGGCUGCGAUAUGCCUCGGGGAGCCGCCAACAGGGCUUUGAUCCGAGGAUUUCCGAAUGGGGGAACCCACCGACCGUCAUGGGUCGGUACCGGCUUCGGCCGGGGGGUACGCAGGGAAGUGAAACAUCUCAGUACCUGCAGGAAAGGAUAUUCCGUGAGUAGUGGCGAGCGAAAGCGGAUGAUGGCCAAACCUUGCGCGUGUGAUACCCGUCGGGGGUUGCGCGCGGGGUGUUGCGGGAUCGCGUGCGCCGGCUCCGACGGGCCGGCCGGCAGUUGCAGAAAACCAUGUGUCAGGGGAACCGGGUUGAAUACCGGGCCGCAGAGGGUGAGGGCCCCGUACCUGAACGCGCAUGGUCUGCCGAUCGCGUCUCCCAAGUAGCACGGGUCCCGUGGAACCCCGUGCGAAUCCGCCCAGACCGUUGGGUAAGCCUGAAUAUUCCUGUCUGACCGAUAGCGAACGAGUACCGUGAGGGAAAGGUGAAAAGUACCCCGGGAGGGGAGUGAAACAGUCUCUGAAACCGUGCGCCUACAAUCCGUCGGAGCCCUUUUGUGGGGUGACGGCGUGCCUAUCGAAAAAUGAGUCUGCGAGUCAGUGGCACGUGGCGAGCGUAACCCGUGUGGGGUACGCGUAGCGAAGGCGAGUCUCAAAAGGCGUUUGAGUCGCGUGUCCUGGACCCGAAGCGGGAUGAUCUAGCCCUGAGCAGGUUGAAGCGCGGGUAAGACCGCGUGGAGGACCGAACCCACCUGGGUUGAAAACCGGGGGGAUGACUUGGGGCUAGGGGUGAAAGGCCAAUCAAAUUCCGUGAUAGCUGGUUCUCUCCGAAAUGCAUUUAGGUGCAGCGUCGGGGAUUACGUCCGGGGGGUAGAGCUACUGGAUGCUUGAGGGCCCGUAUCGGGUACCGACAGCAGCCAAACUCCGAAUACCCGUGACGCGUAUCCCGGCAGUGAGUCGGCGGGGGAUAAGCUCCGUCGUCGAAAGGGAGACAGCCCAGACCGUCGUCUAAGGUCCCGAAGCGUGUGCUAAGUGGGAAAGGAUGUGGAGUCGCAUAGACAGCCAGGAGGUUGGCUCAGAAGCAGCCACCCUUGAAAGAGUGCGUAACAGCUCACUGGUCUAGUGGUUCCGCGCCGACAAUGUAGCGGGGCUCAAGCACACCACCGAAGACGCGGCAGUAUUUUGUACUGGGUAGGAGAGCGUCCCAUGAGGGGCGAAGCGGCCGUGUGAACGCGCCGUGGACUUCAUGGGAGUGAGAAUGCAGACAUGAGUAGCGAGAGACGGGUGAGGAUCCCGUCCGCUGGAUGACCAAGGGUUCCGGGGCCACGUUCGUCGUCCCCGGGUGAGUCGGGUCCUAAGGCGAGGCCGACAGGCGUAGUCGAAUGGAUGAACGGGUCGAUAUUCCCGUACCGGCUUUCAGCCGCCAAAACCGAGGCUUGGAGUACUAACCUCCGGGUCCGGGCUUACUGCUCCUUCGGGGGCGGGAUGCCCUGGCCUGUUGGGACCGAUCCUUGUAGUAGGUCAGCGCAGGAGUGACGCAGAAGGGUAGCCGGCCGCGGAGGUGGUCUUCCGUGGUCAAGCACGCAGGGCGUGGGACAGGCAAAUCCGUCCCGCAUGGGUCCGAGGUGCGAUGAUGGGGGCCUUAUGGCCCGAUAUCCGGUGAUCCCGGCUGCCGAGAAAAGCUUCGGCGUCAGGCGCGUUGCCGCCCGUACCCCAAACCGACACUGGUGGUCAGGUAGAGAAUACCAAAGCGAUCGAGCGAAUCCUGGUCAAGGAACUCGGCAAAUCACUCCCGUUCCUUCGGUUUAAGGGAGACCCCCGAUGGUGAACACACUUGCUGUGGGAGCUUUUGGGGGUGGCACAGACCAGGGGGUAGCGACUGUUUACCAAAAACACAGGUGCAUGCGAAGGCGCAAGCCGCUGUAUAUGCACUGACGCCUGCCCGGUGCCGGAAGGUUAAGAGGAUCCGUCAGCCUUCGGGUGAAGCGGUGAAUUCAAGCCCCGGUAAACGGCGGUGGUAACUAUAACCAUCCUAAGGUAGCGAAAUUCCUUGUCGGGUAAGUUCCGACCUGCACGAAUGGCGUA